CAUGUAUGGCUAUAAACUUUCCUUUUAACAAUGCUUUGGCUGCAUCCCAGACAUUUUGAAUUUUAACUGCUUCUGACUGCCAACUGUAGGAAGCCACCAGCUGAUUGACCUCAGGGUUGAGGGUACUCUUCUGCUGAUUUUCAGAAAAAUGAAGGGGAGAGUCAGAAGAAAUAUUGGGCAAGAAAGAGUUUUGAAG